rnacentral:rRNA from 1 species
GACGAACGCUGGCGGCGUGCCUAAUACAUGCAGGUUGAGCGCUGAAGGUUGGUACUUGUACCAACUGGAUGAGCAGCGCACGGGUGAGUAACGCGUGGGGAAUCUGCCUUUGAGCGGGGGACAACAUUUGGAAACGAAUGCUAAUACCGCAUAAAAACUUUAAACACAAGUUUUAAGUUUGAAAGAUGCAAUUGCAUCACUCAAAGAUGAUCCCGCGUUGUAUUAGCUAGUUGGUGAGGUAAAGGCUCACCAAGGCGAUGAUACAUAGCCGACCUGAGAGGGUGAUCGGCCACAUUGGGACUGAGACACGGCCCAAACUCCUACGGGAGGCAGCAGUAGGGAAUCUUCGGCAAUGGACGGAAGUCUGACCGAGCAACGCCGCGUGAGUGAAGAAGGUUUUCGGAUCGUAAAACUCUGUUGGUAGAGAAGAACGUUGGUGAGAGUGGAAAGCUCAUCAAGUGACGGUAACUACCCAGAAAGGGACGGCUAACUACGUG